UGAAAAAAAGAUUUCAGAUUUAGGAAAUAUCUUUCGUAGUUCGUAUAAACAGGGCAAUGAUGAGAAAAAGAUUUCCAGUUUAGGAGAUCCAUUUCGUAGUUGGUAUAAACAUGGCAAUGAUGAGAAAGAGAUUUCCAGUUUAGGAAAUAUCUAUCGUAGUUCGUAUAAACAGGGCAAUGAGGAGAAAAAGAUUUCCAGUUUAAGAGAUCCAUUUCGUAGUUGGUAUAAACAGGGCAAUGAUAAGCAUGUGAAGAAACAUGAUUCAUUUUUCUUCCUUAUGGAUGAUCUAAAAAUAGGGAAAAUAAUGACUCUCUCUUUUCAAACACGAAGAAAUCUAACUUCUUUUCCGAAAAAAGCAGUUGAUUCCAUUCCAUUUUCACAAGUUAAAUCCAUGGAAAAUACAUUGAAAAUAUGCGAAGAUUUGCCUAUAAAAGGAGAGGGAAAGUACUGUGCCACAUCCGCGGAGGCAAUGCUGGAUUUCGUGCAAGGAAUCAUUGGAGAAAAUACCCAAAUCAAAGCUCUGACAACGAUAACAACUCAUGAUAUUUCUCCCCUGCUUCGUCGUUAUACAAUUUUAGACACUCCACAACAAAUUACCACUCCUAAAAUGGUGGCGUGUCAUCUAUUGUCUAGUCCUUACGCGGUUUUCUACUGUCAUCACACAAUUGACAAUAAAAUCAAGGUGUUCAAGGUUUCAUUAGGGAAAAUUAAUGAAGCAAAUGGUGAUCGACUAGUGGAAGCGAUGGUUAUAUGUCAUUUGGAUACUUCUGAAUGGAAUCCAUCUCAUGAAUCUUUCCGAUCGCUCGGUGUAUUACCAGGAACAUCACCUAUCUGUCACUUUUUCACAUCAAGUAAUGAUCUAGUGUGGAUUCCAAAAUCAGUUGCCACUACUCCACUUGUAGCAGCGCUUUGAAGGAUCGAUCGGAGAAACUAGCUGCACUAUGUUCUUAGUUAUUGCUUAUGCGUCUAGACGCAAAGUAAUGUGUUUUAAUUUAGGGUGUUCUUUGUCUGUUUUAGUGGAGAUCUACUCCGAUGUCUAUCGGAGAUGAACUCCUAUCUGUGUUAAUUAUCUUUGUUUGGCUGUUGAGUAUGCUUUUGAUGAUAAUAAUAUGUUUGUCCUAUUUUGUAAAGUGUGCACAAGUGUUUUGUUACUAUGUUAACUUUUGAAUAUGCAAUUAAAUUUAAACUAAAGCUACAAUGCAUCUAUUUAAUUUGUUACACUUUCACAAUAAACACAAAUUAGGUAUAUAUCUCUUUCAAUC
rnacentral:lncRNA from 1 species